UCCGAUAUGGUGUAGUGGCCAACAUGAUGCCCUCUCACCUACAUUGAGAGGUUAGGCAUAGCCCCGAGUUCGAUUCUCGGUUUCGGAA
rnacentral:tRNA from 1 species